rnacentral:ncRNA from 1 species
GAGAGCCCGGUACUCGGAAACGGGUACGCCGGGUUCGGGAGAGCGGCAGGGGGAAACGACCCGGCGAAAUCCGGACACCGCGCCCCCUGCCGACUCUCAC